rnacentral:rRNA from 1 species
UCGAGCGGUAGCACAGAGAGCUUGCUCUCGGGUGACGAGCGGCGGACGGGUGAGUAAUGUCUGGGAAACUGCCUGAUGGAGGGGGAUAACUACUGGAAACGGUAGCUAAUACCGCAUAAUGUCGCAAGACCAAAGUGGGGGACCUUCGGGCCUCAUGCCAUCAGAUGUGCCCAGAUGGGAUUAGCUAGUAGGUGGGGUAACGGCUCACCUAGGCGACGAUCCCUAGCUGGUCUGAGAGGAUGACCAGCCACACUGGAACUGAGACACGGUCCAGACUCCUACGGGAGGCAGCAGUGGGGAAUAUUGCACAAUGGGCGCAAGCCUGAUGCAGCCAUGCCGCGUGUGUGAAGAAGGCCUUCGGGUUGUAAAGCACUUUCAGCGGGGAGGAAGGCGUUGAGGUUAAUAACCUUGUCGAUUGACGUUACCCGCAGAAGAAGCACCGGCUAACUCCGUGCCAGCAGCCGCGGUAAUACGGAGGGUGCAAGCGUUAAUCGGAAUUACUGGGCGUAAAGCGCACGCAGGCGGUCUGUCAAGUCGGAUGUGAAAUCCCCGGGCUCAACCUGGGAACUGCAUUCGAAACUGGCAGGCUAGAGUCUUGUAGAGGGGGGUAGAAUUCCAGGUGUAGCGGUGAAAUGCGUAGAGAUCUGGAGGAAUACCGGUGGCGAAGGCGGCCCCCUGGACAAAGACUGACGCUCAGGUGCGAAAGCGUGGGGAGCAAACAGGAUUAGAUACCCUGGUAGUCCACGCCGUAAACGAUGUCGAUUUGGAGGUUGUGCCCUUGAGGCGUGGCUUCCGGAGCUAACGCGUUAAAUCGACCGCCUGGGGAGUACGGCCGCAAGGUUAAAACUCAAAUGAAUUGACGGGGGCCCGCACAAGCGGUGGAGCAUGUGGUUUAAUUCGAUGCAACGCGAAGAACCUUACCUGGUCUUGACAUCCACAGAACUUUCCAGAGAUGGAUUGGUGCCUUCGGGAACUGUGAGACAGGUGCUGCAUGGCUGUCGUCAGCUCGUGUUGUGAAAUGUUGGGUUAAGUCCCGCAACGAGCGCAACCCUUAUCCUUUGUUGCCAGCGGUUCGGCCGGGAACUCAAAGGAGACUGCCAGUGAUAAACUGGAGGAAGGUGGGGAUGACGUCAAGUCAUCAUGGCCCUUACGACCAGGGCUACACACGUGCUACAAUGGCAUAUACAAAGAGAAGCGACCUCGCGAGAGCAAGCGGACCUCAUAAAGUAUGUCGUAGUCCGGAUUGGAGUCUGCAACUCGACUCCAUGAAGUCGGAAUCGCUAGUAAUCGUAGAUCAGAAUGCUACGGUGAAUACGUUCCCGGGCCUUGUACACACCGCCCGUCACACCAUGGGAGUGGGUUGCAAAAGAAGUAGGUAGCUUAACC